rnacentral:rRNA from 1 species
UACGUAGGUGGCGAGCGUUGUCCGGAUUUACUGGGCGUAAAGGGAGCGUAGGCGGACUUUUAAGUGAGAUGUGAAAUACCCGGGCUCAACUUGGGUGCUGCAUUUCAAACUGGAAGUCUAGAGUGCAGGGGAGGAGAAUGGAAUUCCUAGUGUAGCGGUGAAAUGCGUAGAGAUUAGGAAGAACACCAGUGGCGAAGGCGAUUCUCUGGACUGUAACUGACGCUGAGGCUCGAAAGCGUGGGGAGCAAACAGGAUUAGAUACCCGGGUAGUCCCU